rnacentral:rRNA from 1 species
AAUGAACGUUGGCGGCGUGGAUUAGGCAUGCAAGUCGCGCGACAAGGAACCUUCGGGUUCUGGAGGAGCGGCAAACGGGGUAGUAAGGCAUCGGAACGUACCCUCUUGUUGGGAAUAGCCGCGGGAAACUGCGAGUAAUGCCCAAUAAUCCCUACGGGGCAAAGGUCCGCCGCAGGAGGAGCGGCCGAUGUGAUACCAGCUAGUGGUGAGGUAAUGGCUCACCAAGGCUUAGACGUCUAGGGGGUGUGAGAGCAUGGCCCCCACACUGGGACUGAGAUACUGCCCAGACACCUACGGGUGCUGCAGUCGAGAAUCUUCGGC